rnacentral:lncRNA from 1 species
UCACGCAUGUCUCACGGCAAUAGGCUGGGAGAAGUUAAUCACGUGUUAGCCAGUCAACCAGAUAUUUAAACGUAUUAUUUCCCUCAUCCUGAGCUAACUUAUGUCUGCCGCGUUGGAGAUCUCCUCCGGCGGCGGCGAAACCCUAAUGUCAACAUAAUCUAUAUCAUCUCCUUCACCUUCGUCUCAUGAUUACAAAUAUCACCAUAAUACAAUCCAAUUCUUUUUCAAAGAUCUGAACCGAAGAAAUGUAUUGAAGAACCAUAAAUCUUAGAUUCAAAAUUAAAUCAAAACCACAUGGAACCAAAGACCGAUAGGUUGGGUCUUUGAUUCCCCAAGCCCCCCUCUACAUCCCUGUAACCAGCAUGAAGCAAAUCAUUGAAGAAAGAAGAUCACUCACCAGCACCGAUGAUGGAAAUCAGGUACGAUCUGAAUCUUCUUCCUCUUCGUCUGAUUCUUCUUCCCCUUUCUUCUUCUGAAACGUCUUCUUCUGAAUCCUGAGAGAUCGUGAGUUUUGAGAAUUCAAGAGAAAGUGUGAUGAAUCGGAGGUUUUGCAGGAGUCUAGCUCGAGCACGUUGAAGCUUCAAUAUGAAGCUUCAAUGGUUGCUGAAGAUGAGCUUUGAGUGAGGGUAAUGGAGAAAAGUUGCAGAGAUUCUGAGAGAAAAUUGAGAGUAUUGAUCAGUGUGUGUAAGAAUGAUUGAAUGAGGGUGAAGAGAAAAUUAUAUAGAGAGAAGGUUCAGAUCAAAUGGAGGAUUGGAGUGAGGGUAGGAGUUAGUUAGAUUCAACUCACCGAGUCAACUGCAAACUCAGCUAGUUAUUGAAUUGAACUCAGUGAGAAGUUAGUUAGGUUAAUAAAAUUCUGUUAGUGAAUGAAAAAAUUCAGUGUAAGGAGUUUAACUGUUAAUGAUUGAGUGAAUAUGAGUUCAGUUCAAUUUCUGUUAUAUUGGUGAAAGUUCAGUUAAGUUUAGUUGAAAAAGAAAACAACUAUAUUAGUCAUUAAGUUAUUAGUUGGUGAGAUGAAUUGUUGUUGGAUGGAAAUGUCAGUUCAGUUUAAAGUUAAUGAAGCUUUAUUCUCUAUUAAUGAAAUGAGUUGUUAGAUGUUAAUGUUAAUUGAUUUUCUCAAUUUUAAAAGUUAUGUCAAUUGGUUAGCUCGAUUGUUGUAGGAUUUGUUUGAUGCAGGUCUAGGUGAGGACCUUGAUACAAGUUAGGGGUUGCAGGCUGACUUGUGGAACUAGUUUAACCAUGUUAUUGGGAGCAAAUUGGUGAUUGAACCAUGUGAUUGCAUUCAAACUACAGACCAAGGCAUGCUACAGGCUUUUCCAUUCAAUUUGUUUGUUGCACUCCAACGGUUUCUGCAUGGAUGUGUUGUUGUUUAGAUGCUAUCCAUGUUCUACAUGGUUAUACUAUGGUUGUUUGUUAUGUAAUGCAAAUGAUGUAGUAGUGUAAUGUAUGUUGACUGGCUUGCUCAUGUUGGUGGUUUAAUGCUUGUUCCUGCAGGUUCAUGCUUGUGUAACAGUAUGAUUGGUAAGUAUGUGUGGAUUGCAGCAUCUAUGUGUGUGUUUAGGUCCUGAUGCAGGUUGAGCAUGUGUAGAACAACGAAAAUUGGUUUGGAUUGAACAAGAUGCUAGCCAUGAUGAAUAUACAUGCUGCUACUACAUUGUGAAUGAUGUUGAACUGAACUCAUGUUAACCAUUUCCCUGCUGUUGAUUGUUGUUGUUUUGUAGGUCUACUGUAGAAUUUUGGAAGGCUUUUUGUCAUUUGUAUUGCAUAUGGCUGCUUAGAUCAUGAAUAUGUGCAUGUAUGUGUUCAUGUUAGUUGUUAUCUUUUAUGAAAUAUGGGAUAGGUUAGGCAUAAUCUUCGAAUGUAUGCUUGGUUUGAUCUUGUUUGGAUUGAUGGCUGCAUGAUUUUAGUGCAAGGCCUAUUUUAGUGCAAGGCCUGGUUUGUGUGAUUGGUCAUGGUUGCAAGGAAAAAUCUAAAUGUAUUGAAAGCAUGAGCAAAUUCAAGGCAUGACAAACUUGGUGCAAAAUGGCUUUCUUGACAUGAAGCAAUAUGGUGAUAAAAUCUCAUGAAAUAAUGCAAGAGUGAAUAUGUAAUGCACAUUAGUGUUUAGAUUAUGGAAAAAAGGUUGGUUGACCAAAAAAUCAACAGUUGACCAAAAGUCAACCUUUGUAAAAAUUGCAUUUUUUGCAUUUCCUUUUGUAAUUGACAAUGUAAAUGCUAUUUUAAUGAUUGAAUAAUCAUUUACUUGAAUGAAAUGAUCCAGGAUUAAAUGUUAAACAAAAUGUCUUCAAAAAAUGAAUUUUACUUGAAAAUCCAA